GACGCUGGAAUUUUCAGCGUCUC
rnacentral:snRNA from 1 species